rnacentral:rRNA from 1 species
UACGAAGGGGGCUAGCGUUGCUCGGAAUCACUGGGCGUAAAGGGUGCGUAGGCGGGUUUUUAAGUCAGAGGUGAAAUCCUGGAGCUCAACUCCAGAACUGCCUUUGAUACUGAGAAGCUUGAGUCCGGGAGAGGUGAGUGGAACUGCGAGUGUAGAGGUGAAAUUCGUAGAUAUUCGCAAGAACACCAGUGGCGAAGGCGGCUCACUGGCCCGGUACUGACGCUGAGGUGCGAAAGCGUGGGGAGCAAACAGG